rnacentral:ncRNA from 1 species
UUACUACUUAAUAUACACAUGCAAGCAUCCACCCCCCUGUGAAAACGCCCUUCAACCCCCAACUGGGGCAAGGAGCUGGUAUCAGGCACGAUUAUCUGCCCAAGACGCCUAGCUUUGCCACACCUUCAAAGGAGUUCAGCAGUGAUUAACAUUGAGCAUUAGCGCAAGCUUGACUCAGUUAAAGUAAAAUAGAGCCGGCCAAUCUGGUGCCAGCCGCCGCGGUUACACCACAUGACUCAAAUUGACCACCUCCGGCGUAAAGCGUGAUUAAAGUUGCCCACCCUCCCCCUACUAGAGCUAAACCAAAACCGCGCUGUAACACGCCCGUUUACCAAUGAAACUCAAAAACGAAAGUUACUCUAAUACAACCGACUUGAACUCACGACAGCUGGGAGACAAACUGGGAUUAGAUACCCCACUAUGCUCAGCCACAAACUUUUAAUUACACCCUUAAUCGCCAGGGAACUACGAGCCAAGCUUAAAACCCAAAGGACUUGACGGUACCCCAUAUCCCCCUAGAGGAGCCUGUCCUAUAACCGAUAACCCACGUUAAACCUCACCAUUUUUAGUUAUCAGCCUGUAUACCUCCGUCGUCAGCUUACCACGUGAGCGCCAGUAAGUAAGCCCAAUGUUACUCCACCAGCACGUCAGGUCAAGGUGCAGCAAAUAAAAUGGAAAGAGAUGGGCUACACUUUCUACAUUAGAAAAAACGAAAAACUUUAUGAAAUCUAGUUGGAAGGCGGAUUUAGCAGUAAAAUGGAAUCAGAACAUCCAUUUUAACACGGCACUGGGGUGUGUACACACCGCCCGUCACCCUCUUCAAAACUACCAAUAAAGUUUUUAACCCACCAAAACACAAUAGAAGAGGUAAGUCGUAACAUGGUAAGUAUACCGGAAGGUGUGCUUGGAAA